AUAAACUUAUUGACUCGAUUGAUUGUUGCGUCCAGAAAUUAAGACUGUGAUUUCGGCUAAUAAUCUAAAAGAAUAAUUAUCUAUAUACCCUCAUACGUUUGAAAAUACUCGAUUUAUUCCUUUUUUUUUCUUUCUAAAAUACCCCUCAUAUGUUCCACCGUUAUUGUAAAAUAUCCCCGCAAUUAUCUCCUGUUAAGUUAACUUGGAUUAAAUAUGAGUUAAAUAUUUAUCAUAGUUAAAAAAAAUUAAAAUACCAAUUUUGCUAUUAACUUAAGGAUAAAUAAGAAUUGUUGGUGACGGUGGAGAGGUAUAUUUGAAAAGAUCAAAAAUCAAAAUACUUUUUGUGCCCCUGACUUUAAGGGAAAAUAAAAAAAGUCGGUGAUGGUGGAAGAAUAUAUUUGAAAGGGCAAAAUAAUAAUUUUUUACAGAUAACAGAGUUCAUUAACGAUUUUAAUUUUAGAAGUAUAUUUGAAAUAGGUUAGAACGUAAAAAGGAUAUUUUUUUUCAAUAUUAAAUCAGAAAGUCGGAAACUUUAUAGGGGNGAAUGGUAUAUUUGAAAGGGCAAAAUAAUAAUUUUAUACAGAUAACAGAGUUCAUUAACGAUUUUAUCUCUAUGGGUAUAUUUGAAAUAGGUUAGAACGUAAAAAGGAUAUUUUCAAUAUUAGUCUUCUAAGAAGGAUAAAUCAGAAAGUCGGAAACUUUUCACGGAUAUAUAAGC
rnacentral:lncRNA from 1 species